rnacentral:rRNA from 1 species
AUACGGAAGGUCCGGGCGUUAUCCGGAUUUAUUGGGUUUAAAGGGAGCGCAGGCGGAGAUGCAAGCGUGACGUCAAAUUUCGGUGCUCAACCCCGUCUCGCGUCGCGAACUGCGUCCCUUGGUUGCGGGAAGGGGAGGCGGAACUCGUGGUGUAGCGGUGAAAUGCAUAGAUAUCACGAAGAACUCCGAUCGCGAAGGCAGCCUUCCGGCCCGUCAACGACGCUCAUGCUCGAAGGUGCGGGUAUCAAACAGGAUUAGAUACCCUGGUAGUCCGCACAGUAAACGAUGGACACCCGCGGUUUGGCCUGUAUGGCUGAGCCGCCAAGCGAAAGCGUUAAGUGUCCCACCUGGGGAGUACGCCGGCAACGGUGAAACUCAAAGGAAUUGGCGGGG